rnacentral:rRNA from 1 species
CCUACGGGUGGCAGCAGUGGGGAAUAUUGGACAAUGGGCGAAAGCCUGAUCCAGCCAUGCCGCGUGUGUGAAGAAGGCCUUCGGGUUGUAAAGCACUUUCAGUGGGGAAGAAAGCCUUGGGGCUAAUACCCUCGAGGAAGGACAUCACCCACAGAAGAAGCACCGGCUAACUCCGUGCCAGCAGCCGCGGUAAUACGGAGGGUGCGAGCGUUAAUCGGAAUUACUGGGCGUAAAGCGCGCAUAGGCGGUCUGAUAAGCCGGUUGUGAAAGCCCCGGGCUCAACCUGGGAACGGCAUCCGGAACUGUCAGGCUAGAGUGCAGGAGAGGAAGGUAGAAUUCCCGGUGUAGCGGUGAAAUGCGUAGAGAUCGGGAGGAAUACCAGUGGCGAAGGCGGCCUUCUGGACUGACACUGACGCUGAGGUGCGAAAGCGUGGGUAGCAAACAGGAUUAGAUACCCGAGUAGUC